UACAGAGGAUGCAAGCGUUAUCCGGAAUGAUUGGGCGUAAAGCGUCUGUAGGUGGCUUUUUAAGUCCGCCGUCAAAUCCCAGGGCUCAACUCUGGACAGGCGGUGGAAACUACCAAGCUGGAGUACGGUAGGGGCAGAGGGAAUUUCCGGUGGAGCGGUGAAAUGCGUAGAGAUCGGAAAGAACACCGGUGGCGAAGGCGGCCUGCUGGGCAGUUGCUGACACUGAGGCGCGACAGCGUGGGGAGCAAACAGG
rnacentral:rRNA from 1 species